CCUUGGUUGAUCCUGCCGGAACCUGACUGCUAUCGGGAUUGGUACUAAGCCAUGCGAGUCGUUGUAGCAAUACAAGGCGGACGGCUCAGUAACACGUAGUCAACCUAACCUAUGGACGUGGAUAACCUCGGGAAACUGAGAAUAAACCGCGAUAGAUCAUUAUGCCUGGAAUGGCUUAUGGUUCAAACAAUUUAUUGCCGUAGGAUGGGACUGCGGCCUAUCAGCUUGUUGGUGAGGUAAUGGCCCACCAAGGCUAUAACAGGUACGGGCUCUGAGAGGAGAAGCCCGGAGAUGGGUACUGAGACACGGACCCAGGCCCUAUGGGGCGCAGCAGGCGAGAAACCUUAGCAAUGUGCGAAAGCACGACUAGGUUAAUCCGAGUGAUUUCUGUUGAAGAAAUCUUUUGUCAGUCGUAAAACCACAGACGAAUAAGGGGUGGGCAAGUCUGGUGUCAGCCGCCGCGGUAAUACCAGCACCUCGAGUGGUCAGGAGGUUUAUUGGGCCUAAAGCAUCCGUAGCCGGCUACGCAAGUCUCCGGUUAAAUCCAGCUGCUCAACAGAUGGGCUGCCGGAGAUACUACAUAGCUAGGGAGCGGGAGAGGUAGACGGUAUUCUGUGGGUAGGGGUAAAAUCCACUGAUCCAUAGAGGACCACCAGUGGCGAAGGCGGUCUACCAGAACGCGUUCGACGGUGAGGGAUGAAAGCUGGGGGAGCAAACCGGAUUAGAUACCCGGGUAGUCCCAGCUGUAAAUGAUGCAAACUCGGUGAUGCAUUGGCUUAUGGCCAAUGCAGUGCCCCAGGGAAACCGUUAAGUUUGCCGCCUGGGAAGUACUGACGCAAGUCUGAAACUUAAAGGAAUUUGGGGGGGGAGCACCAAGGGCGAAUUCCCGACACAUUGGCGGCCCGUUACUAGGGGAAUCCGAACUCGGGUACCAAGC
rnacentral:rRNA from 1 species